rnacentral:rRNA from 1 species
UACGUAGGUGGCAAGCGUUGUCCGGAUUUACUGGGCGUAAAGAGCGCGCAGGCGGUCGUUCAAGUCGCGUGUGAAAGCCCCCGGCUCAACUGGGGAGGGUCACGCGAUACUGAUCGACUCGAAGGCAGGAGAGGGUAGUGGAAUUCCCGGUGUAGUGGUGAAAUGCGCAGAUAUCGGGAAGAACACCCGUGGCGAAGGCGGUUCUCUGGGACGGUACUGGACGCUGAGACGCGAAAGCGUGGGGAGCGAACAGG